AACGAACGCUGGCGGCAUGCCUAACGCAUGCAAGUCGAACGAACCCUUCGGGGUUAGUGGCGCACGGGUGCGUAACGCGUGGGAAUCUGCCCUUUGCUUCGGAAUAACAGUUAGAAAUGACUGCUAAUACCGGAUGAUGUCUUCGGACCAAAGAUUUAUCGGCAAAGGAUGAGCCCGCGUAGGAUUAGGUAGUUGGUGGGGUAAAGGCCUACCAAGCCGACGAUCCUUAGCUGGUCUGAGAGGAUGAUCAGCCACACUGGGACUGAGACACGGCCCAGACUCCUACGGGAGGCAGCAGUGGGGAAUAUUGGACAAUGGACGCAAGUCUGAUCCAGCAAUGCCGCGUGAGUGAUGAAGGCCUUAGGGUUGUAAAGCUCUUUUACCAGGGAUGAUAAUGACAGUACCUGGAGAAUAAGCUCCGGCUAACUCCGUGCCAGCCGCCGCGGUAAUAC
rnacentral:rRNA from 1 species